rnacentral:rRNA from 1 species
GAUGAACGCUGGCGGCGUGCCUAAUACAUGCAAGUCGAGCGAACAGACGAGGAGCUUGCUCCUUUGACGUUAGCGGCGGACGGGUGAGUAACACGUAGGUAACCUACCUAUAAGACUGGGAUAACUUCGGGAAACCGGAGCUAAUACCGGAUAAUAUUUCGAACCGCAUGGUUCGAUAGUGAAAGAUGGCUUUGCUAUCACUUAUAGAUGGACCUGCGCCGUAUUAGCUAGUUGGUAAGGUAACGGCCUACCAAGGCAACGAUACGUAGCCGACCUGAGAGGGUGAUCGGCCACACUAGAACGGAGACACGGUCCAGACGCCUACGGGAGGCAGCAGUAGGGAAUCUUCCGCAAUGGGCGAAAGCCUGACGCAGCAACGCCGCGUGAGUGAUGAAGGUCUUCGGAUCGUAAAACUCUGUUAUUAGGGAAGAACAAACGUGUAAGUAACUGUACACGUCUUGACGGUACCUAAUCAGAAAGCCACGGCUAACUACGUG